rnacentral:tRNA from 1 species
GCCUGGCUGGUUCAUUUGGUAGAGCACGCAACUCUUGAUUUUGGGGUUGUGAGUUCAAGCCCCACGUUGGGCA